rnacentral:rRNA from 1 species
GACGAACGCUGGCGGCGUGCCUAAUACAUGCAAGUAGAACGCUGAAGGAGGAGCUUGCUUCUCUGGAUGAGUUGCGAACGGGUGAGUAACGCGUAGGUAACCUGCCUGGUAGCGGGGGAUAACUAUUGGAAACGAUAGCUAAUACCGCAUAACAGUAGAUGUUGCAUGACAUUUGCUUAAAAGGUGCAAUUGCAUCACUACCAGAUGGACCUGCGUUGUAUUAGCUAGUUGGUGGGGUAACGGCUCACCAAGGCGACGAUACAUAGCCGACCUGAGAGGGUGAUCGGCCACACUGGGACUGAGACACGGCCCAGACUCCUACGGGAGGCAGCAGUAGGGAAUCUUCGGCAAUGGACGGAAGUCUGACCGAGCAACGCCGCGUGAGUGAAGAAGGUUUUCGGAUCGUAAAGCUCUGUUGUAAGAGAAGAACGAGUGUGAGAGUGGAAAGUUCACACUGUGACGGUAUCUUACCAGAAAGGGACGGCUAACUACGUGCCAGCAGCCGCGGUAAUACGUAGGUCCCGAGCGUUGUCCGGAUUUAUUGGGCGUAAAGCGAGCGCAGGCGGUCAGAUAAGUCUGAAGUUAAAGGCUGUGGCUUAACCAUAGUACGCUUUGGAAACUGUUUAACUUGAGUGCAAGAGGGGAGAGUGGAAUUCCAUGUGUAGCGGUGAAAUGCGUAGAUAUAUGGAGGAACACCGGUGGCGAAAGCGGCUCUCUGGCUUGUAACUGACGCUGAGGCUCGGAAGCGUGGGGAGCAAACAGG